UACGUACCGUCCAAACGUUAUUCGGAAUUACUGGGUUUAAAGGGUACGUAGGCGGCGCUGUUAGUCGGGUGUGAAAGCCCUCGGCUCAACCGAGGAAUUGCGCCCGAUACUGCAGUGCUUGAGGGAGACAGAGGUAAGCGGAACUGAUGGUGGAGCGGUGAAAUGCGUUGAUAUCAUCAGGAACACCAGUGGCGAAAGCGGCUUACUGGGUCUCUUCUGACGCUGAGGUACGAAAGCCAGGGGAGCGAAGGGG
rnacentral:rRNA from 1 species